GACGAACGCUGGCGGCGUGCUUAACACAUGCAAGUCGAACGGAAAGGCCCCUUUGGGGGUACUCGAGUGGCGAACGGGUGAGUAACACGUGAGUAACCUGCCCUUGACUUCGGGAUAACUUCAGGAAACUGGGGCUAAUACCGGAUAGGAAUCCUUGCUGCAUGGUGGGGGUUGGAAAGCUUCGGCGGUUUUGAAUGGACUCACGGCUUAUCAGCUUGUUGGUGGGGUAGUGGCUUACCAAGGCUUUGACGGGUAGCCGGCCUGAGAGGGCGACCGGCCACAUUGGGACUGAGAUACGGCCCAGACUCCUACGGGAGGCAGCAGUGGGGAAUAUUGCACAAUGGGCGGAAGCCUGAUGCAGCAACGCCGCGUGCGGGAUGACGGCCUUCGGGUUGUAAACCGCUUUCAGCAGGGGCGAAGCUUGUGGUGACGGUACCUGCAGAAGAAGCACCGGCUAACUACGUG
rnacentral:rRNA from 1 species